rfam:Aedes aegypti strain Liverpool supercont1.461 genomic scaffold, whole genome shotgun sequence.
CCUCUCAUGGCGUAGGGGUAACGCGCCCUAACUCGAGAUCAAGGUGUCGUGAGUUCGAUUCUCACUGAGAAGA